GAGACGUUAGUAAAACAGAUUACAUCACCUUGUCAAGAUGAAAUUAUGGGUUAAAUCCCCGUACAUCUCU
rnacentral:tRNA from 1 species